ensembl:lncRNA
UACCAGACAGGAAGUAUCAUCAAUUUGUCAGCCUCAUGCAGUUUCACUGAUGGACAACUGGUGGCAGUAAUGUGACGAAGGGUCGCUGCCCAAUAAAAGCAACAGGAGAAGAACGAAGAGACGACAAACAGCAGGUCGUCUCCUCCAGCAGAAGAAAACCAGAUGAUGUUCCACCUCCAUCCAACAGACAUUCUAACUGGCUGGUUGGGGUUCUUCUGCAGUAUUCCCGGCUCUCUCCUGGACGAUCCCUGGACCCAGUGGAGGUGGUUGGAGACGGGAGAAGCUGUCAUCCCCGAUGGAGGACCAGUGGAAUCUUGUCACAGCACUGGACAGCUGCUUCUCUGGUGAUGAGGAAGACCACAGAUCUUCAUCCUGCUGCUGGCAGACUCUAUAACCAUCACUGCUCACAGUAAACCACAGGAGGAGAAACUGACAAGAUAUUUGCUUUGACCUCUUUGCUGCUGUAACACUGCAUAUUAUCCUGCUGUGGAAUCAAUGAAGGAUUAUUUUAUCAUGUUUUCUAUACUAUGAGUCCACAUACUACUGUGGCGC